rnacentral:lncRNA from 1 species
UUUUUCUUUUUUAAGUUUUAUUUCUUCUUCUUUUUUUUUUCAUCAUGUCUGUAGUUUCUAUGGGAACAACUCUGUGUAACUCAUAGCCCAUGGCCCCUAGGACUCUUCCCUGAUCCUUGAUAACUAGCUCCCUGCUGCAAACCUUACAGAUGUAGAGCUACUCCCACCUUCCACCUUCCUGGCUUUUCCUUCUGAGGUCUCACAACUCCGUGUUCUGUCUCUUUGUGGAGGGGUAUAGAAAGUGACUAUUUGCACUGUAACAUCUUGCCUUUCCAAUCUACACAGACCAAAACAACCCCAUCUACUAAUCUCUAGUCCAGGUAUUCCUUUCAGGAUUUGACAUAAGGUGCAUGGUAUAUAUUAAUGUCCAACAGUCUGACGGACUUUGGAGAUAGCAUGUUUAAGCAUGUUCCUGGGGUUAUGGCUUCCACACUAAAGACGUUGUCUGCAGUGAAAGCCUAUCCAAUGCCUCUAAUUGGCUGAUAGCUUCCUUUCUUUUAUCAAUUCUUCCCAUUCAUCCAUUUCUUUAUUGAAAUCAACUCCCCUAGGGUAUCCAGAUCCUAGUUUAUUAAUAUUGUUUCUUUUAUCAUUCAUGUGAUCUAAGGAUGUUUCUAUUUGGGGGCUUCUAACAUAUUGAAAAAUACAGCAAUAGUAGAUUGAUUCACAACUACUAUGUAUAUGUUAAUCUUUACAUGCAAUGUGGAUUUGAUAAAGUUUCUUGUUCUGAAGACCUGGUACUCAGCUGAUGAAUGCUGAAGCUAUCUGAUCCUGAGGGGUCUGACCCAAUCAAAGGAUUGAUCACUAACCAAUUCAUAACUGUAUGCCAUUAGAGGUAGUAAGGGAAACUUUUCAGAAGUAGAGCCUGACUUUAACUCACUACAUCCUGGCCACCAAAGAUGAGCAUCUCUGCUAUACAAUAAUGUCAUCAUGGUGUUCUGCCUGGCCUCAGACAAAAGCUAACAACCUAAGAGACCUUGGAUGGAAAAUAUUGAGAAAAUGAGUCAAAACAAAUCUUUCUUCCUUUAGAAUUAUUUCCCUUGGGUAUUUGCCAUAGUGAUGAGAAGCUAGCUAACACACACAUGAUCUCCAGCCUUUUAGACCAACUUAGAAUUAACUCUUGGUGCCAACAAAAAACUACAGAAACCCUGCAACUCUAUAACAGUGGUAUAGUACUGCUGUCAGUUCAGGAGGAAGACACAAUAGUGCAGACUUAGGGCCAGAGAAUCUUAGGUGGCCAUGCCAGAGCUACUCCAUGUAAGAUAUUAGGACUGGGGCAAGUGAGAUCAAUCACAGUGCAGGUGGAAAUCACAAAGAAGGAUAUGAGUUCAGAAAGGACCAUUCAGAAAAAGAGAGUCCCGUGGUUUCAGCACCCAGUAAGUGGGUUGCCCUAAGUGAUUCUGGCCAGUCCACGUCCUCUGAAGUGCUUCCUGGCCUUCCUUUUAGCUCCUAAGAAAUCUGCAUGUCAUGCCUGUGGAGGAUGUGUGUCCUAUGGGAGACACUACCUAACCAAUUCUAGCAGGCACGUUUGAAGUGAAUAAACCCAUUGCCAAGGCAUUGUGGUAGACAUUAAAGUCAAAUUAGUCAGCCUGCCCAAAAGAUUUGGUGAUUUUUUUUUCAGAACCAGCCCUGCUCUUUUCUCAGCCAACUGGAGGGCUGGAUGUUCCAUGCUGACAGAAACGGUUCAUUAUACAAUGCCAAAUUAUUAAACAAUGUUUAACAUUUCAGAAGCAUGCUUGGCAUUCCUCUCCUAUGCCAAGCCUCCCAAAAUCUUCAACAAACCCACAUUCGUUGACAUACUAGAAUACCUUCUUGCCUUUUCCUAUCCACCCUGCUAAUACCUUCAUGGCCUUUCCCACCCCUCUGCCUCCUGAGAGUAGCUCUGCUGUGGAUCCCAGGACACGCUCGUUUCCCUUUAAGAAUUGUUUCCUAAUGUGUCUGCCCUGAAACCUCCACAGAGCAGAUGAUUUGAACACUGACUCGCUGAUUCAGCAUUUUGCUAGCUGUGUGAUCUUUGAGCCAUAGUCACAUCCAUCAUUCAUUUGUUCAUUCAUUUAUUCAACAGGUGUUUACUGAGCACAAUGCAUGUGCUUGGCUGCAUUUCAUUAGAUUCCUAUUCUCUCAGAAUUAGUCAGGCAAGAGAAUCAGACAUUAAGUACAUUAUCAAAUAACCAAUCAUCUGAACUAGUCUUAAUAAGGAGAUACAGAGAAGUACACAAUACUGGGAGCAUGCUAUAGGGAGUCAUGGCUUAGCUGGCCUUCUAGGGAAGGCAUCUCUCUGGAGGCCCAGCCAGGUAGAAACAUGCAUACAUACCCAAUUAUGCAAGGUAAUAAGAUAGUAGAGGAUUCUUUCCCAAAGUCCAUAUGGAAACAGAGUGUUCCUUUAUUAUGUGCGCACCCCAAACCAGGCCAGAUGGCCUCCCUACUUUCAUACCCAGACAUAAGCAGAGUUUGACUGAGUAGAAUCUACAUUUGAUGUCAUUUAGGGGAGAAGAAUCUUACGUUAUUGUUCAUAGUAGGGUGUGCAUGCAACUCAAUGCAGGUAGGGUUCCUAGAUUGUUAAAACUCUGUGUUGUUUGGAGAGGGGUGUGUGCACAUAGCAUCUGCAGGCUAGAGUCCUAGGCUGCCCAAUAUAGGAUACGUGCAUAGGUCAAAAGGUAAGCAGAAUCCAUGGCUGCUAAGCUCUCCCCAAUGCUCAGUCUUCCUCAAGGCAAGGCAGGACCAAGUUGCAUGAGUCUGGCAGGACUGAGAUGGUGCCGAAGCAUCGUCCCAGGGACUUUCUGAAGUUAGAGGAGACAAGAAAGAGUCUGAAUAUUGAUGUCUGAAUACCAAAAGGAACCAGGUGUCCCCAGGGAGGCACUAGGCAGAGCCGUGGAUGGUAGUAUGAUGUCAUGAUAUCGUGGAUGGCUGAUGCUGCAGAAAUUAGUCAUAUGUGGUAUCCAGGCCAUGGGCUGGGAGACUUGGAACUUGGACAUAUUAGGGUCCAUCCGUGAUCAGGGAAUUGUUUCAAGUUUUAGUUUACAGCUAAAAGGACCAUGUACACACACACACACCCCUCAAUGUUCUCCCAGACCAAUGAUGAAGUCUUUCCUUAGCCCUUUCUGGUAAGUAUACCACAAGAUCUGGUGUCCAUACUACUUGUGUCCAUCUUUGUCACUGGACUCUGAUCUAUUUCCCCUGACACCACUCACUCAUACAAAGGCCAAAGGCAGGACUUUGUCAGGCUGACACUUAUCACAGCCACUGCGGAUGCCUGAUCAUCUUUCUGGGUUCUUGUCUGCCCUGUCCUCCUUCUGUCUCCCCAGGGCAGGUGUGCUCCAGGGGUUCUAGCCUUCUUCCUCCCUUUGAUAUCUUGCUUGACAAGAUCAGGAUUGAGCACCCAUUCCCUCUGUGGAAAAGGAACAAUUGCCUAUCUGUUUUCCCUACUCUCUGCCUGACUCCAUUCCAUUAAGACUCAGAUGCACAUAGGAACUAUAUAUUACUCAGAGCUGUCCAUUCUGAGGCCACCGGCUAGCAGAGCAGCUGGCCCAUGCCCUUCCCGCCGCCACCAAUCCCCAUCCCAAUCUCCCUUCUCCCUUUUUUCUUUGUUCCCUUGUCCUAAUUCUGGCUCUGUUGCUUCCCUUUUCUGAAGCGGUCCACACAUUUCCUGCAGAUGAUUCCUGCUGGUCCUUCAGCCCUCAUGCUGGGCUUCUGUAUGAGGCCACUGCAAAUGUCUGCAGAUACACUCAGAGUGCUAUCCUGCCUUCCUACUGAGGUUUCCUCUCAUCUCCUCCAUCAAGUGCCUUAUGUUCUGACUUCCAUCAUCUGCUACCAGGUCUCUUUCAUCUUCUUCUUCCUCCUCUUCCUUCCUCCCCCACCACUUAGACCUAUGCCAGGACCAGCAGGCCUUGCCUUUCCUAUUUUAAUAUGCAGAAUAGAUACAAGAUGAUGUAAGAAAAGUGUUUUAAGACAUGGCUGUUGAGCCACACCUAGCACCAAAUAAAUUUAGCUCUUAUAUUCACUCUUUUGUUAUUUAUAGUGAUAUUCUUAAACUUUAACUCAUUUAUUUCAAUGAAUUCAAUGAAUAUUAACUGUGUACCUACUAUAAACCCAUGCUGGACUCAAUAAUAAACAAAAUUAGAUGUUGAUUAUACCCUCCAGGAGCAUCCCAGGCCAAAGGAAUAGCCUAUAAAAAGGUUCUGUGAAAGACUGGGAGCAAAGUAUGGCCAACCAGAGAUGAGAGGAAGGCUAGUGUUGCCAAUGCAGAGGGAGGAACCAGGCCAGCAGGCAUGACUGGGAGCUGGUGGAGUCUUUGUUUUAAAAUAGUAAGAAGAAUUUGGAGAGGGAGGGUUCAAAGGGUAAAAACGAAGCCCGUAUCAUGUAGGUAUGAGGGCCUGCAUUUGAGUCCCAGAACCCAUGGAAAGCCCAGGGUGGUAAAAUACACCUGGGACCCUAGCCAUUUUAAGAUGAAAUGGGAUACAGAGACAGGAGAGUAGCCUAAAGCUUGUAAGCCAGGUAACCUGGUGUAUACAGUGGGGAACAAGAGAUUCUAUGUCACAAAAGGUGGGAGGCAAGAUGUGAUUGAUAGCUGAGAGUGUCUUCUUCUACAUUCAUGCCAUGGCAUGUGUAUGCCUGCAUAUCCCCCUCCCCCAACCCACCAAAAAACAAAAAAAAAAUGU